GAAAGAUGAUCAGGUUGAUAGGUCUGAGGUGGAAGUGUGGCGACACAUGGAGCUGACAGAUACUAAUCGAUCGAGGACUUAACCUAAUUUCUA
rnacentral:rRNA from 1 species